GACGAACGCUGGCGGCGUGCCUAAUACAUGCAAGUAGAACGCUGAAGGAGGAGCUUGCUUCUCUGGAUGAGUUGCGAACGGGUGAGUAACGCGUAGGUAACCUGCCUGGUAGCGGGGGAUAACUAUUGGAAACGAUAGCUAAUACCGCAUAAUAUUGAUUAUUGCAUGAUAGUCAAUUAAAAGGUGCAAUUGCAUCACUACCAGAUGGACCUGCGUUGUAUUAGCUAGUUGGUGAGGUAACGGCUCACCAAGGCGACGAUACAUAGCCGACCUGAGAGGGUGAUCGGCCACACUGGGACUGAGACACGGCCCAGACUCCUACGGGAGGCAGCAGUAGGGAAUCUUCGGCAAUGGACGGAAGUCUGACCGAGCAACGCCGCGUGAGUGAAGAAGGUUUUCGGAUCGUAAAGCUCUGUUGUAAGAGAAGAACGAGUGUGAGAGUGGAAAGUUCACACUGUGACGGUAUCUUACCAGAAAGGACGGCUAA
rnacentral:rRNA from 1 species